GUGCUCGCUUUGGCACCACAUAUACUAAAAUUGGAAUGAUACACAGAAGAUUCAUAUAACCCCUGUGCAAAAAAAUAGAUUCCUAAAAUCUAUAAUACACCUGAUUUU
rnacentral:snRNA from 1 species